CCUACGGGAGGCUGCAGUGGGGGAUAUUGCACAAUGGGGGAAACCCUGAUGCAGCGACGCCGCGUGGGUGAAGAAGUAUUUCGGUAUGUAAAGCCCUAUCAGCAGGGAAGAAAGAAGACGGUACCUGACUAAGAAGCCCCGGCUAACUACGUGCCAGCACCCGCGGUAUUACGUAGGGGGCGAGCGUUAUCCGGAUUCACUGGGUGUAAAGGGAGCGUAGACGGCCGUGCAAGCCAGGAGUGAAAGCCCGGGGCCCAACCCCGGGACUGCUCUUGGAACUGUGCGGCUGGAGUGCGGGAGGGGCAGGCGGAAUUCCUGGUGUAGCGGUGAAAUGCGUAGAUAUCAGGAGGAACACCGGCGGCGAAGGCGGCCUGCUGGACCGCGACUGACGUUGAGGCUCGAAAGCGUGGGGAGCGAACAGGAUUAGAUACCCCGGUAGUC
rnacentral:rRNA from 1 species